rnacentral:rRNA from 1 species
CCUACGGGAGGCACCAGUGGGGAAUAUUGGACAAUGGGGGCAACCCUGAUCCAGCCAUGCCGCGUGUGUGAAGAAGGCCCUCGGGUUGUAAAGCACUUUCAGUGAGGAAGAACGCCUGGUGGUUAAUACCCAUCAGGAAAGACAUCACUCACAGAAGAAGCACCGGCUAACUCCGUGCCAGCAGCCGCGGUAAUACGGAGGGUGCGAGCGUUAAUCGGAAUUACUGGGCGUAAAGCGCGCGUAGGUGGCUUGAUAAGCCGGUUGUGAAAGCCCCGGGCUCAACCUGGGAACGGCAUCCGGAACUGUCAAGCUAGAGUGCAGGAGAGGAAGGUAGAAUUCCCGGUGUAGCGGUGAAAUGCGUAGAGAUCGGGAGGAAUACCAGUGGCGAAGGCGGCCUUCUGGACUGACACUGACACUGAGGUGCGAAAGCGUGGGUAGCAAACAGGAUUAGAUACCCGGGUAGUC